rnacentral:rRNA from 1 species
CCUACGGGCGGCAGCAGUGAGGAAUAUUGGUCAAUGGACGAGAGUCUGAACCAGCCAAGUAGCGUGAAGGAUGACUGCCCUAUGGGUUGUAAACUUCUUUUAUAUGGGAAUAAAACGUUCCACGUGUGGGAUUUUGUAUGUACCAUAUGAAUAAGGAUCGGCUAACUCCGUUCCAGCAGCCGCGGUAAUACGGAGGAUACGAGCGUUAUCCGGAUUUAUUGGGUUUAAAGGGAGCGUAGGUGGAUUGUUAAGUCAGUUGUGAAAGUUUGCGGCUCAACCGUAAAAUUGCAGUUGAAACUGGCAGUCUUGAGUACAGUAGAGGUGGGCGGAAUUCGUGGUGUAGCGGUGAAAUGCUUAGAUAUCACGAAGAACUCCGAUUGCGAAGGCAGUUCACUGGACUGCAACUGACACUGAGGCUCGAAAGUGUGGGUAUCAAACAGGAUUAGAUACCCGAGUAGUC